UGUAGAACUCGAGAAAUAAGCUGAACACUGAACAGUGUUUGGGCUGCAGGACAGAUUCAGACUUCUCUAUUGUUGCUAUAAUUUGGACUUGAAAACGGCCUUUUUAAAUCUUGGACACCUCAUGAAAGUUUUAAACUUAUAUCUUAGCUUUCCAUU
rfam:Populus trichocarpa scaffold_18_contig_82, whole genome shotgun sequence.